rnacentral:pre_miRNA from 1 species
AGAGAUAAUUAAACUUGAGGAAGAAAACGAGAAGGACGGACACCUUACAAACUUCCAACUAUGGUUGUCCUUUCUUCUCGUUUUCUUCCUCAAGUUUAAUUACAAUUUUA